rnacentral:snRNA from 1 species
UUGUUCCCUUUGGCAGCACAUAUACUAAAAUAGGAAAGAUACAGAGAUUAGCAUGGCCCCUGUGUGAGGAUGACAUGCAAAUUCGUCAAGUACUCCAUAUUUUU